rnacentral:rRNA from 1 species
CCUACGGGCGGCAGCAGUGAGGAAUUUUCCGCAAUGGACGCAAGUCUGACGGAGCAACGCCGCGUGCAGGAUGACGGCCUUCGGGUUGUAAACUGCUUUUCUGUGAGACGAGAACGGACGGUAUCACAGGAAUCAGCCCCGGCUAACUACGUGCCAGCAGCCGCGGUAAUACGUAGGGGGCGAGCGUUGUCCGGAGUUACUGGGCGUAAAGCGCACGCAGGCGGUUCUGCGCGUUUCCGGUGCCAGCUCGCUGCUUAACGGCGAGAGUGCCGGGAAGACGGUGGGACUUGAGGGCCUCAGAGGGACAUAGAAUUCCGGGUGGAGUGGUGAAAUGCGUAGAUAUCCGGAGGAAUACCAAAGGCGAAGGCAGUGUCCUGGGAGGUGACUGACGCUGAGGUGCGAAAGCCAGGGGAGCGAACGGGAUUAGAUACCCCGGUAGUC